GACGAACGCUGGAGACGUGCUUAACACAUGCAAGUCGAAAGGAACGGAACUGCUUAUAUAGGGAGAUAAAAUAGCAAACAAAUAAACACAACGAGAAUCAACUGCACUUGACUUUGGGAUAACUUCAGGAAACUGGGGCUAAUACCGGAUAGGAGCUCCUGCUGCAUGGUGGUGGUUGGAAAGUUUCGGCGGUUGGGGAUGGACUCGCGGCUUAUCAGCUUGUUGGUGGGGUAGCGGCUUACCAAGGCUUUGACGGGUAGCCGGCCUGAGAGGGUGACCGGCCACAUUGGGACUGAGAUACGGCCCAGACUCCUACGGGAGGCAGCAGUGGGGAAUAUUGCACAAUGGGCGGAAGCCUGAUGCAGCAACGCCGCGUGCGGGAUGACGGCCUUCGGGUUGGUAACCGCUUUCGCCUGUGACGAAGCGUGAGUGACGGUAAUGGGUAAAGAAGCACCGGCUAACUACGUG
rnacentral:rRNA from 1 species